CUACGGAGGGUCCGAGCGUUAUCCGGAAUCAUUGGGUUUAAAGGGUCCGUAGGCGGGUUUGUAAGUCAGUGGUGAAAGUUUUCGGCUCAACCGGAAAAUUGCCAUUGAUACUGCAAGUCUUGAAUCAUUAUGAAGUGGUUAGAAUGUGUAGUGUAGCGGUGAAAUGCAUAGAUAUUACACAGAAUACCGAUUGCGAAGGCAGAUCACUAAUAAUGUAUUGACGCUAAGGGACGAAAGCGUGGGUAGCGAACAGGAUUAGAAACCCCUGUAGUCC
rnacentral:rRNA from 1 species